rnacentral:tRNA from 2 species
GCCCCCAUCGUCUAGUGGCCUAGGACGUCGCCCUUUCACGGCGGUAACACGGGUUCGAAUCCCGUUGGGGGUG